rnacentral:lncRNA from 1 species
AACUUUCCGACACUAAAACCAUAUUUGUCGACACUAUUUGAAGGUGGGCUCAAAUUUGAUUGAGCCUCGGCUCUAUACAAACCACCCCCGAAACGAAAAUGGUGAUCCACGUCAGAAUCGCCCCACUUGGGUCGGAUUUUGCACUGGCCAUUCCGGAUCCUCUCAUAUACCGGGAUUCGCUGGGUUCCCCUCCCACUGGAUCGUCGAUUCUAUUGCUGCAAAUGGGUGAUUUUCUACAGUAGAGUUCGUGGAUACAGUAAAAGCCCCAAUUAUUGAUGCUAUAGUGAACCCGUGAGCCCUUUUUCAUGGAUUUGGAUAAGUUGGAUAUAUUUUUUAAGCUUUUCAAACAAUUAUUGGAUCUAGAUUAUUUAAAUUCCUCUAUAAAAAUAUUUCAUUGAUUGAAUAAACACACAUGUAUAUUUUCAUGAUCGAUUUGGUGCUCGAAAUUGGGGUUUUUUUUUUUUUUUUCUUGUUUUCUAAAAAAUCCGCCAUUUCUUCCAUUUUGAUGGAAAUCGUUUGUUUCUUGGUUCAAAUUGAAGCUAUGAUUCCUCCACCAAAUAAUUAUGCUACUUCUUCUGACUAAACGAGUCUAUCAAAUUUGGAUCGAAAGCUAGGGUUCCUGAAUCAUUCACGAAAAACAAAAAUUUUGAUCGACAACAUUGUUUUUGGUGUAUUUCGUUCGAAUUUCAUUGGGGUUUUUGAUUUACAGAGCCUUUAUUUUAACCUAAAUCAGGUAAUGUUUUUUUUCUUUAGUUUUGUAUAUCAUUUUCGACGACUUAUUUUUUACUAGCAUGUUCUACGAAAUNNN